rnacentral:rRNA from 1 species
AGCGAACGCUGGCGGCAGGCCUAACACAUGCAAGUCGAGCGCCCAGCAAUGGGAGCGGCAGACGGGUGAGUAACGCGUGGGGAUGUGCCCAAUGGUGCGGAAUAACCCAGGGAAACUUGGAUUAAUACCGCAUGUGCCCUUCGGGGGAAAGAUUUAUCGCCAUUGGAUCAACCCGCGUCUGAUUAGCUAGUUGGUGAGGUAAAGGCUCACCAAGGCGACGAUCAGUAGCUGGUCUGAGAGGAUGAUCAGCCACAAUGGGACUGGGACACGGCCCAGAUUCCUACGGUAGGCAUCAGUGAGGAAUAGUGGACAAUGGGCGCAAUAUUGGUCCAGCCAUGCCGCGUGAGUGAUGAAGGCCUUAGGGUUGUAAAGCUAUUUCGCUGGUGAACAUAAUGGCGGUAACCGGAGAAGAAGCCCCGGCUAACUUCGUGCCAGCCGCCGCGGUAA